rnacentral:tRNA from 1 species
GCCAGAGUGGCGGAAUGGCAGACGCGCUGGAUUCAAAAUCCUGUGUCCGCAAGGGCGUGUGGGUUCGACUCCCACCUCUGGUACUA